rnacentral:rRNA from 1 species
GAUGAACGCUGGCGGCGUGCCUAAUACAUGCAAGUCGAGCGAACAGACGAGGAGCUUGCUCCUCUGACGUUAGCGGCGGACGGGUGAGUAACACGUGGAUAACCUACCUAUAAGACUGGGAUAACUUCGGGAAACCGGAGCUAAUACCGGAUAAUAUAUUGAACCGCAUGGUUCAAUAGUGAAAGACGGUUUUGCUGUCACUUAUAGAUGGAUCCGCGCCGCAUUAGCUAGUUGGUAAGGUAACGGCUUACCAAGGCGACGAUGCGUAGCCGACCUGAGAGGGUGAUCGGCCACACUGGAACUGAGACACGGUCCAGACUCCUGCGGGAGGCAGCAGUAGGGAAUCUUCCGCAAUGGGCGAAAGCCUGACGGAGCAACGCCGCGUGAGUGAUGAAGGUCUUCGGAUCGUAAAACUCUGUUAUUAGGGAAGAACAAAUGUGUAAGUAACUAUGCACGUCUUGACGGUACCUAAUCAGAAAGCCACGGCUAACUACGUG